rnacentral:lncRNA from 1 species
CUGAAGACGGAAAUAGAAAAACGAUAUAUUUACUUAAUGCAAUAUCUCUACGCACAUCGCAGCUUGCACGUGAAUUUCAUUCAUUUUCCGUGCCAUAUUCCAAGGUCAACACUUGCUCGGACCUGACAAUUUUAAUGGCGGGCGAAUGAUUUCAGCAAAAGUCAGCCGAGUACCGAGUACAAAUUUCCCGAUUCAUCACUGAUUUUGGGGGUAACGAUGGAGACGUAACACAAUACGGUCACAUGACCGCCUUGAUUUUGCAUGUCUCCCGCUCCUUUUACGCGCGAACUUAGUGCGUUCCACUUCAUACAGGCAUGGCCUGCAUGGUUUUGCUCGGCAAUGAUGUAGAAGUUUUUUUGCUUUUUGAACAUUUUUUAGUUCCAUUUGCUUCAUACAACUUUCGAGCAUUUUUAAAACGUGCGACCUUGCCAUGGGACCUUACACGUGAACUUCAUCCAUUUUCCGGGCCAUAUUCCAAGGUCAACACCUGCUCGGGCGUAACAAUUUUAAUGGCGGCCGAAUGAUUUCAGCAAAAGUCAGCCGAGUCCCGAGUACAAAUUGCCCGAUUCAUCGCUGAUUUGGGGGUAAUGAUGGAGACGUAACACAAUACGGUCACAUGACCGCCUAGAUUUUGCAUGUCUCCCGCUUCUUUUACUCGAACUUGGUGCGUUCCACUUCAUAUAGGCAGGCAUGGUCCGUGGCCUGCAUGGUUUUGUUGGGCGACGUUGCAGAAUUCUUUUUGCUUUUUGAACAAUUUUUAAUUACAUUUGCUUAAUACAACUUUCAAACUUUUUUGAAACGUGCGUAUUUGUUUUCCAUUCGGUCGUGAAUUUCGUAAACAAGUCAGGUGGCCGAUAGAAUAUUGACAAUGAUUUGAAUACAGAACUAAAGACAAAUGUAGAUCCGAACUAUUUCUCAUCGGUGAAAAUGACUUGUUCACGAAUAAAUGGAAAUCAGACUUAAGCAAUAACGACAAAACAGUUUAUUUAUCAUCAUAUUCUGCCGGAACGGUCGUUAAAACGUUCUAUUUAACGUGAUAAACCUUAAACUUCGAGUGAUUAGGGGUAAAAAGUACAAAUGUAUGCUAUGCUAAAAAGUUUGAAAACAAUUUGAAAAUUUUGAUUACAAGUAACUCCUAGCGGCCAUCUUGUUUUAUCACUAGAUCUCGUUUGUAACGUCACAUCAGGGUGGAAAGCGACAAAAUCGCAUUCAGUAGGAGCUACGAUAUCAGCGAUGCCGUUUUUGUUGACUUGUACAGCGAUAAGAUUGGGGUGUUUUGAUAAUUUGUAUGAGGUCAUAGGUACUAACGACUGAUGCCUACAUCCGAAUUGAUAGUGGGCGUGCAUAUUUUUAUGAAAAUAUCGUAAAAAUUAGAGUAGAUAAUAAAAAUCUGUAAGCGGACUUUUUAACGGCGCUGAACGUUCAUUCAAAUAAGAAGGACAUAUUUUUUCUUCUUGGAUCUUUUAAAUCGAUUUAAUCUGAGACCGUGUGCUCGAUUACUUAACCCUGAGUUGCCAACCGUCUGGACACUUUUAACUUGUUCUUUUGAGGAUUAUUGACCACGAUCCACGCGGAAAUGUUGUUAUGAACAAAAAAAUCAGGUUAAGCCGAAACGAGGUUUAGCUCUAAUCGUCUCCAAUAUCUUGUAGGUUGUUUCCAUGCAAGUUCCUAAAAGAUUUUGAUGAAAAUUAUACGAAAAUAUGCCACUGAAAUUGUCGCGUCCGGCGUCGUCAACAUAUUUGAAUUAAAAAAAAUUCUUUCGUUCAUUUAAAAUACAUGACAAAUGUGCGCCUGAUUCAAGGUUUUUAACUACGCCAAUAGAUAAUCUAUCAAAAUAUAUUUGGCCGUGCGGCCAGUUUCAAAGACUUCAAAGCACUGUUAAAUUAUACUUCAUCUUAAACACAUCUGCCAGACGUAUUACGCAUUAAUGCGAAUGUAUUUAGCAUCCUUGAGACAUGUGUAUUAUGACAAGAAGACAAUUAGCGUCAAAUUCAUAAAAAAUUUCGUUGUAAUUAUUAAGAAUUAAGGUUUUGAGCCGUCCUCGAAUUGGCAAACAGUAACCACGCAGAAGAAAGCCUAUUAUCAGUUAUCCAGCAUCUGUUUUAGCCGGGUUGAAGAAAUUUGCUCCGAUUUUUGAAUCUUGAAGAAUCAUCGUAGGUGGCUGUGUGGAUCUUUUCAGAUAUAUAUUGUGUUCAACAGACGAGAGCCAUCAAAGGCAAAGUAUAAGAACCACUUGGAUCGUUCAAGUGUUAUUUCAAUUAGAAACGAAGAUUCGGGACAGACUGGAACUUGAUGAAAAGCAUGAAGUAUAUGGCAUCGCGUAUAUGAUCGACUCAAACUGGAUUUAGAGUAUAUAUAGGAGAAAUUCACUAGCUUUAUUAAAGGACACUGAGUGAGGUUUUUCAUCUUAAGAGCCUCCGUCAAAGCCGUCAAAUAGCAAGUACAGCAAAGACCAAAGGCAAAGGUGUCAGAAGUAGAGCAAAGCUUUGACAUUAACUCGCUUAAAACUGUUCCAAAUUUAGAAAGUUGCCAGUUCAUUUCUAUUAGAGGAAGUUAUAGCUGAAAAAAUUUAAAGAAGAAAUCAAGACGGAAAACGAAAACGGAAUCAAAUAAUUGGAACGUUUUGGUAUGAGGUCAUAGGUACUAACUAAAUUUGUAUGAGGUCAUAGGUAUACUAACGACUGAUGCCUACAUCCGAAUUGAUAGUGGGCGUGCAUAUUUUUAUGAAAAUAUCGUAAAAAUUAGAGUAGAUAAUAAAAAUCUGUAAGCGGACUUUUUAACGGCGCUGAACGUUCAUUCAAAUAAGAAGGACAUAUUUUUUCUUCUUGGAUCUUUUAAAUCGAUUUAAUCUGAGACCGUGUGCUCGAUUACUUAACCCUGAGUUGCCAACCGUCUGGACACUUUUAACUUGUUCUUUUGAGGAUUAUUGACCACGAUCCACGCGGAAAUGUUGUUAUGAACAAAAAAAUCAGGUUAAGCCGAAACGAGGUUUAGCUCUAAUCGUCUCCAAUAUCUUGUAGGUUGUUUCCAUGCAAGUUCCUAAAAGAUUUUGAUGAAAAUUAUACGAAAAUAUGCCACUGAAAUUGUCGCGUCCGGCGUCGUCAACAUAUUUGAAUUAAAAAAAAUUCUUUCGUUCAUUUAAAAUACAUGACAAAUGUGCGCCUGAUUCAAGGUUUUUAACUACGCCAAUAGAUAAUCUAUCAAAAUAUAUUUGGCCGUGCGGCCAGUUUCAAAGACUUCAAAGCACUGUUAAAUUAUACUUCAUCUUAAACACAUCUGCCAGACGUAUUACGCAUUAAUGCGAAUGUAUUUAGCAUCCUUGAGACAUGUGUAUUAUGACAAGAAGACAAUUAGCGUCAAAUUCAUAAAAAAUUUCGUUGUAAUUAUCAAGAAUUAAGGUUUUGAGCCGUCCUCGAAUUGGCAAACAGUAACCACGCAGAAGAAAGCCUAUUAUCAGUUAUCCAGCAUCUGUUUUAGCCGGGUUGAAGAAAUUUGCUCCGAUUUUUGAAUCUUGAGGAAUCAUCGUAGGUGGCUGUGUGGAUCUUUUCAGAUAUAUAUUGUGUUCAACAGACGAGAGCCAUCAAAGGCAAAGUAUAAGAACCACUUGGAUCGUUCAAGUGUUAUUUCAAUUAGAAACGAAGAUUCGGGACAGACUGGAACUUGAUGAAAAGCAUGAAGUAUAUGGCAUCGCGUAUAUGAUCGACUCAAACUGGAUUUAGAGUAUAUAUAGGAGAAAUUC